AAAAAGAAAAAAUCCUAGUUACAUGCGAAGUUUUUUUUUCAUUUUCUCUAACUUACUUUCUCUCUAAAAAGAGUAAGGUCUUGCCUUUUUUUUUCGGUGUGGCCAAUUUUUGCUCCGAUCGCCGCCAGCCAGCCACUCUUUUGCAUGGUCUCUUAAGUAUAAUAAACUCAAAUCUCACUCCUUUUUCCUUGGUUUCUAGUCGUCUUAUUUAAGGUGGUGUCCUUUUCUUUUGUUUUUCUUUUUUAGGUUUGUUUCCUCCAUGGCAAGCCUCAAUCUCCUUGUUAGAUGGCAUCAUUGCUAGUUUUUUUCAUUAGCUGGAGUUCUAUUCAUUCCUGGGUUUUGUCGCACCAAACACCUUCAUUUAGUGAUUAAGGGCACUUUAUGGCCAGUGGAUCUCCUCCAUCACCACUCCUCAACUAGUUUUCAUGAUGAUUAACAAUGUCUUUUUUGGGUUAGUUAAUGCAUGGACUCCUACUAGAGGCAUUCGUGUUGAUAACGGGUAUAAUCGCCUUGCUUCUUGCAUUUCUAGCUACCUAUGGCGUUCCUUUUUCUACCCCUCCAAUAGACUUAUGCAUGGGUCAGGCUUCAACUUAGCCCGACCAAUGAACACAUUUACUCCUCGAUGAUGGUGACCUUGAGUUCGGCAAGGGGCUAGGGUUUCUUAACAAUGUAUGAUAUUAGGCUUGGGUAUUUUUGGGCCCUUUGUUUUUUUUUUUUAAUUUGUAUCUUGUUUUGAGCCUUUUAGGUUUAGUUGUACAUGAUCCAUUUUUUAAUGAAUGCUAAAUAUUGAAAUAAAUCA